AAUCAAGUUCCUUCUAUACAACCCCAGCCUUCUUUUCUUCUUCUUCACAGAGUUGACUCUCUACUUAUACUUUGCCCUAAUGCAAUAUCCAUUUGGCCUGAAAAACCUGAUGUUUUCUACCCUUUGCUGGAGAAAGAACCUGUAAGGUUGGAAAGGACGAGAUGAUCUACUACCAAAAGUGCACAAGAACCUCACAAGACAAUGACGGACGCCCAGACUGGGCACUGACAAGAUUCUUUGUAUGCAUAUCUUGGAAUGAGAUCUCUGGAAGCCAGUAUAGA
rnacentral:lncRNA from 1 species